rnacentral:rRNA from 1 species
AGGCUUGAGUCUUGUAGAGGGGGGUAGAAUUCCAGGUGUAGCGGUGAAAUGCGUAGAGAUCUGGAGGAAUACCGGUGGCGAAGGCGGCCCCCUGGACAAAGACUGACGCUCAGGUGCGAAAGCGUGGGGAGCAAACAGGAUUAGAUACCCUGGUAGUCCACGCCGUAAACGAUGUCUACUUGGAGGUUGUGCCCUUGAGGCGUGGCUUCCGGAGCUAACGCGUUAAGUAGACCGCCUGGGGAGUACGGCCGCAAGGUUAAAACUCAAAUGAAUUGACGGGGGCCCGCACAAGCGGUGGAGCAUGUGGUUUAAUUCGAUGCAACGCGAAGAACCUUACCUGGUCUUGACAUCCACGGAAGUUUUCAGAGAUGAGAAUGUGCCUUCGGGAACCGUGAGACAGGUGCUGCAUGGCUGUCGUCAGCUCGUGUUGUGAAAUGUUGGGUUAAGUCCCGCAACGAGCGCAACCC